rnacentral:rRNA from 1 species
GACGAACGCUGGCGGCGUGCUUAACACAUGCAAGUCGAACGGAGAAGCGUCUUCCUUGUUGGUCGGGGUGGAUGAGUGGCGAACGGGUGAGUAACACGUGAGUAACCUUCUCCGUUCUGCUGGAUAACCGGAUGAAAGUGCGGCUAAUACGGGAUAUUUUGGGUCUGUCGCUUGAUGGGUCUGGGAUGGAUAUUGUUUCGGUGGGGGAUGGGCUCGCGGCCUAUCAGCUUGUUGGUGGGGCGAUGGCCUACCAAGGCGGCGGCGGGUAGCCGGCCUGAGAGGGUGGCCGGCCACGCUGGUGCUGAGACACAGCGCAGCCUCCUAACGGAGGCAGCAGUGAGGAAUAUUGGACGAUGGGCACAAGGCUGAAGCAGCGCCGCCGCGUGGGAGAUGGACGCCGUCGGGUAGUACACCUCUUUCGUCGGAGAAGCAGUCCUGCAUCGUCUGUGCGUGGGUUGACGGUACCUGGAUAAGAAGCGCCGGCUAACUACGUG